rnacentral:rRNA from 1 species
UGGGGAAUUUUGGACAAUGGGCGCAAGCCUGAUCCAGCCAUGCCGCGUGCGGGAAGAAGGCCUUCGGGUUGUAAACCGCUUUUGUCAGGGAAGAAAUCUUCUGAGUUAAUACCUCGGGAGGAUGACGGUACCUGAAGAAUAAGCACCGGCUAACUACGUGCCAGCAGCCGCGGUAAUACGUAGGGUGCAAGCGUUAAUCGGAAUUACUGGGCGUAAAGCGUGCGCAGGCGGUUUUGUAAGACAGAGGUGAAAUCCCCGGGCUCAACCUGGGAACUGCCUUUGUGACUGCAAGGCUUGAGUGCGGCAGAGGGGGGCAUGGAAUUCCGCGUGUAGCAGUGAAAUGCGUAGAUAUGCGGAGGAACACCGAUGGCGAAGGCAAUCCCCUGGGCCUGCACUGACGCUCAUGCACGAAAGCGUGGGGAGCAAACAGGAUUAGAUACCCCUGGGUAGUCCACGCCCUAAAACCGAUGUCAACUGGUUGUUGGGAAGGUUCCUUCUCAGUAACGUAGCUAACGCGUGAAGUUG